rnacentral:rRNA from 1 species
UACGUAGGCAGCAAGCGUUGUUCGGAGUUACUGGGCGUAAAGGGUGUGUAGGCGGUUCUUUUAAGUUUGGUGUGAAAUCUCCCGGCUCAACCGGGAGGGUGCGCCGAAAACUGAAGGGCUAGAGUGCGGGAGAGGAGAGUGGAAUUCCUGGUGUAGCGGUGAAAUGCGUAGAUAUCAGGAGGAACACCGGUGGUGUAAACGGCUCCCUGGACCGUAACUGACGCUGAGACACGAAAGCGUGGGUAGCAAACAGG